rnacentral:rRNA from 1 species
GGAAGUAAAAGUCGUAACAAGGUUUCCGUAGGUGAACCUGCGGAAGGAUCAUUCAUAAUAAGUGUUUUAUGGCACUUUUUAAAUCCAUAUCCACCUUGUGUGCAAUGUCAGUCGAUCUUCUUCUUGGAGAUCGACCAAACAUCAACCUUUAUCUUUUAACUCUUUGUCUGAAAAAUAUUAUGAAUAAACAAUUCAAAAUACAACUUUCAACAACGGAUCUCUUGGCUCUCGCAUCGAUGAAGAACGCAGCGAAAUGCGAUACGUAAUGUGAAUUGCAGAAUUCAGUGAAUCAUCGAAUCUUUGAACGCAUAUUGCGCUCUUUGGUAUUCCGAAGAGCAUGCUUGUUUGAGUAUCAGUAAACACCUCAAAGCUUUUGGAUUUUUUUUUGAAAGCUUUGGACUUGAGCAAUCCCAACACCAAUCUUUUUUUAAGAUCGGUGGCGGGUUGCUUGAAAUGCAGGUGCAGCUGGACAUUCUCCUGAGCUAAAAGCAUAUUCAUUUAGUCCCGUCAAACGGAUUAUUACUUUUGCUGCAGCUAACAUAAAGGGAGUUUGACCGUAUUGGCUGACUGAUGCAGGAUUUCACAAGGGUCGGCAACGAUUCUUGUUAAACUCGAUCUCAAAUCAAGUAAGACUACCCGCUGAACUUAAGCAUAUCAAUAAGCGGAGGA